GACGAACGCUGGCGGCGUGCUUAACACAUGCAAGUCGAACGGAAAGGCCCUGCUCUUGUGGGGUGCUCGAGUGGCGAACGGGUGAGUAACACGUGAGUAACCUGCCCUUGACUUUGGGAUAACUUCAGGAAACUGGGGCUCAUACCGGAUAGGAGCUCCUGCUGCAUGGUGGGGGUUGGAAAGUUUCGGCGGUUGGGGAUGGGCUCGCGGCUUAUCAGCUUGUUGGUGGGGUAGUGGCUUACCAAGGCUUCGACGGGUAGCCGGCCUGAGAGGGUGACCGGCCACAUUGGGACUUGAGAUACGGACCAGACGGCUACGGUACGCAGCAGUGGGGAAUAUUGCAGAGUGGGCGGGAGCCUGAUGCAGCAACGCCGCGUGCGGGAUGACGGCCUUCGAGUUGUAAACCGCUUUCUCCUGUGACGAAGCGUGAGUGACGGUAAUGGGUAAAGAAGCAACGGCUAACUACGUG
rnacentral:rRNA from 1 species